rnacentral:rRNA from 1 species
UCUAGUGGCGCACGGGUGNGUAACGCGUGGGAAUCUGCCCUUGGGUUCGGAAUAACGUCGGGAAACUGACGCUAAUACCGGAUGAUGACGAAAGUCCAAAGAUUUAUCGCCCAGGGAUGAGCCCGCGUAGGAUUAGCUAGUUGGUGAGGUAAAGGCUCACCAAGGCUACGAUCCUUAGCUGGUCUGAGAGGAUGAUCAGCCACACUGGGACUGAGACACGGCCCAGACUCCUACGGGAGGCAGCAGUAGGGAAUAUUGGACAAUGGGGGCAACCCUGAUCCAGCAAUGCCGCGUGAGUGAUGAAGGCCUUAGGGUUGUAAAGCUCUUUUACCCGAGAUGAUAAUGACAGUAUCGGGAGAAUAAGCUCCGGCUAACUCCGUGCCAGCAGCCGCGGUAAUACGGAGGGAGCUAGCGUUGUUCGGAAUUACUGGGCGUAAAGCGCACGUAGGCGGCGAUUUAAGUCAGAGGUGAAAGCCCGGGGCUCAACCCCGGAACUGCCUUUGAGACUGGAUUGCUUGAAUCCUGGAGAGGUGAGUGGAAUUCCGAGUGUAGAGGUGAAAUUCGUAGAUAUUCGGAAGAACACCAGUGGCGAAGGCGGCUCACUGGACAGGUAUUGACGCUGAGGUGCGAAAGCGUGGGG